rnacentral:rRNA from 1 species
UACGGAGGGUGCAAGCGUUAUCCGGAUUUACUGGGUUUAAAGGGUGUGUAGGCGGACUUUUAAGUCAGCGGUGAAAUCUCCGGGCUCAACCCGGAAACUGCCAUUGAUACUAUUGGUCUUGAAUGUUGUUGAGGUGGGCGGAACGGGUCAUGUAGCGGUGAAAUGCAUAGAUAUGACCCGGAACACCGAUUGCGAAGGCAGCCCACUAAGCAACGAUUGACGCUGAGGCACGAAAGCGUGGGGA